rnacentral:sRNA from 1 species
AAGGGACAAAUGGACAUAAAAUACCUGCUUGCAUGUAUUCUUAUGUCUAUGGUUCCCGCAAAACAUGAGCAAGUAGCCAUUUUUCGUAGAAAGUAGAAAAGUGCGCGGAUUGCGAAUGUUUUCGUCGAUUUUGGAAGUGCGAAGCACGAAGAAAUCG